rnacentral:rRNA from 1 species
GGGGAGAGUAAGGAUAAGAAUCUGCCGGGGUGGGGGAUUCCUGGGGAAACUCCUGCUAAUACCGCAUACGCCCUACGGGGGAAAGCACGCGCUCUUCGGACCUUGCGCUAUUGGAUGAGCCUAUGUCGGAUUAGCUGGUUGGUGAGGUAACGGCUCACCAAGGCGACAAUCCGUAUCUGGUCUGAGAGGAUGAUCACCCACACUGGGACUGAGACACGGCCCAGACUCCUACGGGAGGCAGCAGUGGGGAAUAUUGGACAAUGGGCGCAACCCUGAUCCAGCCAUGCCGCGUGUGUGAAGAAGGCUUUCGGGUUGUAAAGCACUUUCAGUGAGGAAGAAAGCUUGUCGGC